rnacentral:tRNA from 1 species
UCCUCGUUAGUAUAGUGGUCAGUAUCCCUGCCUGUCACGCGGGAGACCGGGGUUUAAUUCCCCGACGGGGAG